GGUACUUCACUUCCCUUUAUCUCUCACUCUUCGAUCUGCUUCUCCAUUAUCGUUAGCUCUCGAUCUGCUUCUCCAUUAGCUUUAGCUCGGUUCUAGUUGCAAGUUUGUUGUAUGUUUAUUGCUCGUUUAUUCAAUUGGGUUUUCUUAAUUUGCUGAGGAAAAAACUCAAAGAUUUCGGCUUUCUUCUUCCUAGCCUCG